rnacentral:rRNA from 1 species
ACUUUAUACGUAGGGUAUUUAGUCUUUAAAUUAUACUAAAUUGUUGAUAUAUAUCUUAGGUAUUUCGUUGGGGAGACGUGGAUAUAAUUUGUAACUGUCUAAUUAAUAAUAUAAUUAUCUUUAUAUUUUGAACCUUCUUUGUGGGUUAUAAGAAUAAGUU